rnacentral:rRNA from 1 species
GCAUCCUGGGGCUGGAGCAGGUCCCAAGGGUAUGGCUGUUCGCCAUUUAAAGCGGUACGUGAGUUGGGUUAAUAACGUCGUGAGACAGUUAGGUCCCUAUCUACUGUGGGCGUUGGAUAUUUGAGUGAACUUGACCUUAGUACGAGAGGACCGGGUCGAACGAACCUCUGGUGUACCUGUUGUCGCGCCAGCGGCACCGCAGGGUAGCUAUGUUCGGAACAGAUAACCGCUGAAAGCAUCUAAGCGGGAAGCUGGUCGCAAGAUAAGAUAUCCCCAUGAGUUCAGUUCUAGACUAGGACAUUGAUAGGCCGUAUGUGUAAGUCCGGUGACGGAUUCAGCUUAACGGUACUAAUCGAACCAUUGACUUUUUAUC